rnacentral:misc_RNA from 1 species
GAUGAAGAACGUAGUGAAAUGCGAUAAGUAAUGCGAAUUGCAGAAUUUCCGUGAGUCAUCGAAUCUUUGAACGCACAUUGCGCCCACUGGUAUUCCGGUGGGCAUGCCUGUUCGAGCGUCAUUUCACCACUCAAGCCUCGCUUGGUAUUGGGCAACGCGGUCCGCCGCGUGCCUCAAAUCGACCGGCUGGGUCUUCUGUCCCCUAAGCGUUGUGGAAACUAUUCGCUAAAGGGUGCUCGGGAGGCUACGCCGUAAAACAAACCCAUUUCUAAGGUUGACCUCGGAUCAGGUAGGGAUACCCGCUGAACUUAAGCAUAUCAAUAAGCGGAGGA